UGACCGAUGGUGUAAUGGUAGCACAAGAGAUUUUGGUUCUCUUUGUCCAGGUUCGACUCCUGGUCGGUCAGCCA
rnacentral:tRNA from 1 species